rnacentral:lncRNA from 1 species
GUUAGUUCAGCCUGAACAAAACCAUGCUUUAAAAGAAGUUAUAAAAACUGAUCGAAAAAUUAUAAUAAAUUUAGACCAUAAAAUAAGUUCUUUGGAAAAAUCUUGCCAAUUUGGAAAUAAAGUUAUAACUAUACUUAAUAUAAAAGCUGAAGGAUUAAAUAAUGUGGCCAUAAAAGAAAAAUUAAAUUUAAUAACUGAUACACUUAUGGAUAAUUUUUCCACAUGUCAUGGAGAUGACAAUGGCAACUCUCAUACCGACAAUAACAAUGAAUUAAAUAUUACUACAAAUAACAAAAGAAUUAUUGAUUUUUGUAAAAUUUCACAAUAUUUUGAUUUUAAAUGUUUACCAUACUGUACAUUAAAUUAUGAUACUAUUCCUAUGCAUUUUUUUAUUAAUAAUGAUAAAAAUUUAUUAAUAGAGUCAUGUACUUUUAAUAAAAAAAAAGAUACAAAUAGCAAAACAAAAAGAUUUAAUAAUAUUUAUAAAAAGUUAAAAGAUUAUAAUUAUGAUGAAGAACCUGAAAUAAAAUUAGAAUCAUAUGAACAAUCCAUGAGAUUAAAAGAUAAAUUGUCAGAACUCGAACAAAAUCAAAAAAAAAAUAACGUAAAGUUUUUUCCAUUUAUAGUAGACACUGAACCAACAAACGGAUUUAACGAAACAACGUUCAGAUUAUUUUUAAUUUCAUUACUAGUUUCUAAAGGUUAUGUUGAAUUUUUUAAAGACGAUAAUAAUAUUUUAUGCAUAAAAUCGUCCGAUUAUUAUAAAGAUGUAGAAAAAACACAAGAAUAUGAACAAGAAGGUGAAAACGAACAAGAAGGGAAACACGAACAAGAAGGGAAACACGAAACUGAUAAAAAUGUAAAACAAAAAAACCAAGCCUUACUCACAUCUUGGUCCUAUAAAAAAUGGAAAAAAUUAGUUAAGCAGAUAAAAAGUGAGUUAUAAAAAAAAUGAACAAGUUAUCAAACAAACAAACAAAUCAAUUGAUAGAAUAAAAAUAAAGC